UUGUAUAAACUUCCACAGGAAAGUUUUUUUUUUGGUAUUUAUAAAUGUGCAGAUGCAGAACUUUGACCAUUGUCAGUCGAUGCCAGCUGAACAUCAGAGAUGGAGAGCCUGUUAAGAGAAUCGUCACUGAGAAGCUGAGCACCUACGCUGCGAUCAUCUUUAUGUUUACCUACACUAUUUUACUCGACAGGGAUUUUGCCUGCACCUGCAAACCACAAGUCGGUGCCUGCUUCCUGUACUUGCUUCUGCCACCCUUCAUGAUACUUUUCUUAAUACUGAUGACGGACAGGUCUUUCCAAAGAGUCUGUAAAUACCAGUGCUCACAAUGGGAAUGCUGCUGCAGUCGUUGCUGUUUUUAUGUCAAGCACAUUUUGAGGGCAUUAUUUGUCGGCAUGCUGUGGGUUGCUUUUUUGUUCUUCGAUGGAGACUGGUAUGUUUGCUGUUGGACUCACGGCUCUGAACCACAGGAACAGUUAGCCUGCAAAGCUGAGGGGAGUUUAACGGUCAACGACACAGUUCUGAUAACUGAACUGAAGAACACAUCCCGGGUUAUCGGUGCCUGUGUUCUACUUGGAAUUGUUGCAGUGGCUUUCUUCUUGCCUUUGUGUUUCAGAUCGAAAUGCUGUUGCUCCAGCAAAGUAUUUCUGUAUGAAAAACUGAUUAUAAUGGAGGAGGCUAAAGUGCUGAAAGAGGUUUUGAGGAAUUCAGCAAAAGAGAAGUUGACUGAAGGAAUCAAGAAAAAAAUCAAUGGAGACAAUUGGGAAGAGUGUUUCAAUGUUGCCAGAACACUGAUUAAACAGCAGCAGUCGACUCAACGAACAGAGGUUGUAUGUGACAUCUUCAUGACUGGUUUUGUCGUACUAUCAGUGUAAAACCCACAGAUGUUUAGUUUAUUGUAACAUAAUACAAUGAAAAGCAGCCAUUCCUAUAGCCCGAGGUAAAGAAUAAAAAUGAACUCAGGCUUUUUAGAGUAAGUAAAAAUCUGCAGGUUUACUGAUUAUGAAGAAUGCUAAAAUGUAAUGAUAUAACAUAACUGAAUAACAUGCAACAGUUCACAUUUCUCUAUUUAAUCAGCGGCUGCAAAACGUCUGGACCUUACAAUCUCUGAAAUGAAAACCAAACAGUUUGCUCUUAAAUUCAUGUAAAUGCACUGUGCUCAAUGCGCCAGGUGAUGGUGCCAGACAGGCUGUUAGUGUGUUUGUUGUAUUCACCUCCUGCUCUCUUUUCUCUCAGGCUGCUGGUCCAGAGAGAUGAUACGCUUGUCAGAUCGACUAGAGGCGGCAGUGGCUGAGUCUUUAUGGACAUUGCUUCGUAGCCGAGGGUCGUCGGUUAAAUACUUCUUCAUGCAUAAAUAUGGCUUAAAAUGAUUGAGAAUGAACAGUUUUUUAUGUCAAUAUAACAACAUGUAUUUUGCUUUUACUUAGAGAUAUAUUCAGGAAAUAAGAAUUGUAUAUAAAACAUAAAAAUGAAUAAGUAUAUUUUUUUAUUGAGUUCAUUAAACUUUGUAUUUGAACAUUU